GCCAGGCACAGGGCAUACAUUUAUAUUCCCAGCUACUCAGAAGGCUGAGCCAUGAGGAUCUCUUGAGCCCAGGAGUUCUGGUGUGUGCCCUAUGGUGUCAGGUGUCUGCACUGAGUUCUGCAUCAAUCUGGUGACCUCCUGGAAGUGGGGAACCCCCUCAAGGGCUCAAGGGGUGAACUGACCUCUGUCAGAAAUGAACCAGGUCAGAAGUUCUGUGCUGAUCCUUAGUGGGAUUGCACCUGUGGAUAGCCAUUGCACUCCAGCCUGGGCAACAUAAUAAGAUCCUGUCUCC
rnacentral:SRP_RNA from 1 species